rnacentral:rRNA from 1 species
AACGAACGCUGGCGGCAGGCCUAACACAUGCAAGUCGAGCGCCCCGCAAGGGGAGCGGCGGACGGGUGAGUAACGCGUGGGAACGUGCCCUCUUCUACGGAAUAGCCUCGGGAAACUGGGAGUAAUACCGUAUACGCCCUUAGGGGGAAAGAUUUAUCGGAGGAGGAUCGGCCCGCGUUGGAUUAGGUAGUUGGUGGGGUAAUGGCCUACCAAGCCGACGAUCCAUAGCUGGUUUGAGAGGAUGAUCAGCCACACUGGGACUGAGACACGGCCCAGACUCCUACGGGAGGCAGCAGUGGGGAAUCUUAGACAAUGGGCGCAAGCCUGAUCUAGCCAUGCCGCGUGAGCGAUGAAGGCCUUAGGGUUGUAAAGCUCUUUCGAGGGGGGAAGAUAAUGACUGUACCCCCAGAAGAAGCCCCGGCUAACUCCGUG